GUUUUUCUCUUUUUCACCAUACGUUUUGCGCUCAGUCAGCUACCGUUUGUUGUCUUCGUUUUUGUUCGAUUAUUACGCGAGGUAUAGCAGCAGCUAUGGAAAAUAUUAGGCAGAACCUCGUAAAGAAACUUCUUCCGGAAAUUAAAUCGAUGCGAGUGGAAGAAGUUGUUCAAGUAUCGUCCUUUUCGUUUCUUCAUACUUCGAUUCGGAUACAAAAUACCUUCGUGACAGGUUUCGGAGCUUUUUUGUCUGUCCGGCUGAUUAAAUUUGACUCGGUUUUCUGGCAUGAACCUGGUGCACAAGGAUCUAAAUUUCAGUUGGAAUUUGCGGCACCAAAAUUGGUAAUUGUUAGGGACCAGUUUGAACAACCGAUAGGUCAAAAAUCAGUGAGUAUCAUGCACCGCCAUCUGGCGUUUUCAGUCAGUUCUACCAUUUAUUUAGACCCAUAUCUAAAGUCAGUGAUCGCGGAAAUGUGAUAAAUAUGUAAAAAAUAAUGGAAAUAGUACCAAAAACGCAGCA